rnacentral:tRNA from 1 species
GGGGAUUUAGCUCAGUGGCAUAAGCACCUGCCUUGCAAGCAGGCGGUCGUAAGAGUACCCA